UGGGCGACGGCGGCUAUGAGCAAUUUCAACCACCAAUACCGAUAUUUCCGCCACAAUCACCGCCGACAAAUUUCAGAUCAGACAUGGCCGACGGCUUUCAACCACCACCACCAUUAUUUUCGCCACAAUUUCAACAACCAACACAGAUGUUUCCGCCACAAUUUCAACCACCGAGUUUUCAACCUCGCCACCUUCAACAUUCUCCUCGAUUUUUAACACCACCGAAUUUUCAACCUCGCCACCUUCAACAUCCUCGAUUUCUACCACCACCGAUUUUUCAACCUCGCGACCGUCAUCCUCCUCCUCGUUUUCAACCUCCUGCGCGAUUUGAUAACCCUAACCAAAGCAACCUUCAUCCUCCUCCUCGAUUUCAACCUCCUGCCCGUUUUGAUAACCAUUAUCAAAGCGAUCUUCAUCCUCCUUAUCGAUUUGAUAACCCUAAUCAAAGGGCUUUUACAACAUUGCAGCAAGUAACUACUGAAACAAGUUCUGGAACAAAGGAAAACACAUCUGAAACAAGUUCUGCAACAACAGGAGAAACAACAUCAGCUUAUUUUUCAGGUUUUAAAAUUAAUUUAAUGAAUAUAGUUAACUAAUUGAUUACUUGUCGUAACUAAUUAGAUUGUGCAAUUAACUAAGCGGCUAAAAAACUAAACAAAUUGGUUAACUAAUUGCUUUGAAAGAAUCACUAACUGGUAAAAAUAGUUAACUAAUUGGAUAAUAAACUAAAUAAUAUAUAAAGGAACUUAACUAAUUAAUAUCAAUACUAAACUAAUUUUUUUUAAAGCUACUUUUCAAAUUUCAUUUUUCACUAAGUUAAUCAUUACCAUCAUUUAGGUAACCUUUUCCACCAAAUAGUUAACUUUUUGAAGCAACUAGUUAACCUUUUCCACCAAAUAGUUAACUUUUUGAAGCAAUUAGUUAACUUUUAUCAUCAAUUAACUUUUUGAAGCAACUAGUUAACCUUUUCCACCAAAUAGUUAACUUUUUGAAGCAAUUAGUUAACUUUUAUCAUCAAAUAGUUAACUUUUAUCAUCAAUUAGUUAACUUUUAUCAUCAAUUAGUUAACUUGUACCAUCAAUUAGUUAAGUUGUUCCCUUAAUUAGUUAACUUGUACCAUCAAUUAGUUAAGUUGUUCCCUUAAUUAGUUAACUUUUAUCAUCAAUUAGUUAACUUGUUCUCUCAAUUAGUUCAAUUGGUUAACUAAUUUCCUGAAUUAUGUAACUAAUUAGUUUCUUUUGUUAAUUAUUACUUUUGUUAAUUUUACAGGUUCAAAAGAUAUUUGGAACGAUUUAACAGAGGAUGAUAUUAGAGGACCUUUGACUGGAUAUACUGGCACUGUAGAUGAACUACAUGAACUUUAUGACAAACAUUCAAUACUUCUUGGAUUUUCAAUAAGAAAAAACACAUUAAGGAGAGAUAAAAAAACGGGAGAGAUAAAGGAAAGAUACUUUUGUUGUUCAAAGGAAGGAAAGAGAAAGGAAAACACAAAGAACACAAAGAAAGAAGAAGCAACUGUAUCAAGUGAGAGCAAACAGAAAGAGCAGUCAAAGAACGCAAGGCAGCAAAACCUUACUAGAACAGGGUGCAACGCAUCUAUACGAUUGAAGUUACAAAAGGAUGGAAAGUUUAUAGUCUUUCAUCAUGUUAUAGAACACAAUCAUGCCUUAACAAGAGAGUCACUGCAAAACUUUCAAAGGUGUCAACAACCAUUGGAGUAAUGUGAUGUUUGGUUGUGCUUUUAUUGCUGAUGAGAAGACACACACUUUUGUGUGGCUAUUGGAAACAUUUCUGGACUCUAUGGGAGGCAAAGCACCUAUAACUAUCUUUACAGAUCAAGAUCAAGCAAUGGCAAAUGCUAUUGAACAAGUAUUUCCUAAUACAAGACAUAGAUUAUGCUUAUGGCACUUACAAAAGAAUGCUGUGUCAAGAUUUGGAGACUUAAAAGCUGACAAUACAUUCAAAGACACAUUCAAGAAGUGCUUAUAUCGUUGUUACAAUGAAGAAGAAUUUGAAACCACUUGGUUUGACAUGAUUACUAAGUAUAACCUUCAAGAUCAUGAUUGGUUUACAAAUCUCUAUACAAUAAAAGAAAA